CAGCAUUUCUGACUUGACAGCUUUUACACUGUGUAUAGGAAGAGUAUGUGUUGUGAUUGUACAAAUGGAUUAUAAAUACUUGUAAAGGCAAGUGUGUUUAAGAGUAAAUAUCUUCGAUAUGUAUUGUGAUACUAAGAUCACGUUUUAUAUGAUCGAAUAUAGUAUAUUUCUGCAUCAUCCUUUCCCAUAUAUCCAGGCUCUCUUUUUAUAAAAUACAACACUUACAACAUCUUUUUUUCUUUGAAGUCUACAUUCACAAUCCAGAAAGCAGUGUCCUUGUUUUUCCUGGAAACUUGCUGAAAUGAUGCAUCCCGGACCCCUCCUCCAUUCCCCGGUCGUUUUGCAUGCCUUCUGCAUUUGAAUAUUGCCCACAAGGUUCAGGAAGCUUACUGAACCUUAAGAAGUUCCAUCCUUUAGCUGCAGUUGUAGGUGUGCUCAACAUGCCUAAGGAAACUGGGUUUCAUCCCAGCACCUUGAAAAGUCAGGCCAGAAGUCAACUUGCAUUAGAAAAUGUGCUAUUACCAAGAAGCAUGUCACCAAGACAACCGAAUAGAACUGUCCAGAGUAUGUCCUUCUGCAGAAAUAUCAAUUGAGACAACUAUCCAGGCAUGAAAUACCUUCAUAAGAACUAAACAAAACAGAACCAUCCCUUUAUUCUUCUUCUUUCCCCUACAAUGAAGUGAUUCUUUACAACAUCCUGUGCUCCUUUUAAAGCCCAUUGGUUCCUUGUGGUGCUGUCAGAAUGUACAUGAGGAACGUCUACUGAAGAAAGGAAAGCCUCUCAGAAGCCAAAUACCUGAAGAAAACUCACUCUGCCUCUCAUAAGAAUCCAUCAGUGGCCAAUAUCACCUCAGUGUUUCCACAGGACGUAUCCCAGAUGAUUGAGUCGGGGGAAAGUCUACAAAAGUUUGGAUGUUGAUUAUUUCCUAAUAUCCCAGAAAUGAGAGGAAAGCCUAAACAUGAUCUAGGAUUAAGGAUACCAGCUUUUGCAGAAGAACUAAAACAACUACCCAUGUCUAAACAAGCAACUACUAGACUCUUGGGCUUCCCAUUCACAACUGCCCAUUGUUGGGUUAGCUGGACUACUGACUAGUCACCAGCCAACAAACAGGCAUUAAAUUCACCAUCCUAAGGAAAUUAUUCAUACUCAAAACAUAACAGCCAAAAGUCAUGCACUUGAAGACUUCUGUCUCUACUCCUCUAUUCUACGGAUAAAGUGAAACCAUAACUUUCAGGAAAAGAAAACAUGAGAAUGUAGAUUACAAAAGUCGGAACUGACAAAAUACAUAAAGACCAUGGGAUGGAAUUUACAUUUUGAGGAUGGCAGAGUAAUGAAUCAGAAAGAGCCUUUGACACCAACGACUCACAGGAAGUCCCAACAUGUCUCCUUAAUAUCUUCAUAGUGGUCAUAUCAUUUGAAUAUGAAGAAGAAAAAGAGCAGGUGGAGGUAUUCAACCAUGCCGUCAAUCAACUAUGCAAUGCAACUAUGCAAUGACCAAUUAAAAGAAUAAGAAAUCUAAAUGAAUAGAUCUUUUAUUAUUAAUUUCAUUUAAUACUGGUUAAGCAAGAGAGACAGUUGAAUUAGGGUUUUUAAAAUAACA
ensembl:lncRNA